AUGGCGGAAUUUGUGUUUACUGAUGUUGGAGUGCCGGUGCCUCCUGAUUCUGACAAAUCAGAACGCUUUCAAGAUUUUUUGAAUGUUAUUUUUGAGACACCAAAUCCCCUAGAAGAACUUGCGAAUGUUGCUGUUAAUGACAGCCAUGGUGUUCCUAAGUACAUUGCUGAUGUUGUUAAAGAUAUUAAUGAUGGAAUGUAUUCUCAAAGUUUUGAUGGCACUGAGCCUGUUACCCAGACUGAGGAUGUUCCUAUGCAGUUACAGCUCGAGGAUGAAAGGAUAAGAAAGAACAAGUAUGAUUUCCAGAGGAGAAAGGAGUUGGAACGGCGUCAAAAGGCUGCCUGUGUGCAACAAAGUGAUGAGGAUGUUGCUCAAGAUCCUAAAUGUGUAGGCGAUGAAGGUGGUGACGCUGCCUUUUCAACUGUUGAUGCCUGA
rnacentral:rRNA from 1 species